rnacentral:rRNA from 1 species
UGGGGAAUAUUGGACAAUGGGCGAAAGCCUGAUCCAGCCAUGCCGCGUGUGUGAAGAAGGUCUUCGGAUUGUAAAGCACUUUAAGUUGGGAGGAAGGGCAGUAAGCGAAUACCUUGCUGUUUUGACGUUACCGACAGAAUAAGCACCGGCUAACUCUGUGCCAGCAGCCGCGGUAAUACAGAGGGUGCAAGCGUUAAUCGGAAUUACUGGGCGUAAAGCGCGCGUAGGUGGUUCGUUAAGUUGAAUGUGAAAGCCCCGGGCUCAACCUGGGAACUGCAUCCAAAGCGGGCGAGCUAGAGUAGGGCAGAGGGUGGUGGAAUUUCCUGUGUAGCGGUGAAAUGCGUAGAUAUAGGAAGGAACACCAGUGGCGAAGGCGACCACCUGGGCUCAUACUGACACUGAGGUGCGAAAGCGUGGGGAGCAAACAGG